rnacentral:rRNA from 1 species
ACUCAAAGGAAUUGACGGGGACCCGCACAAGUAGCGGAGCAUGUGGUUUAAUUCGAAGCAACGCGAAGAACCUUACCUAAGCUUGACAUCCUGGUGACCUCUCCCUAAUCGGAGAUUUCCCUUCGGGGACACCAGUGACAGGUGGUGCAUGGUUGUCGUCAGCUCGUGUCGUGAGAUGUUGGGUUAAGUCCCGCAACGAGCGCAACCCUUGUCUUUAGUUGCCAGCAUUUAGUUGGGCACUCUAGAGAGACUGCCAGGGAUAACCUGGAGGAAGGUGGGGAUGACGUCAAAUCAUCAUGCCCCUUAUGCUUAGGGCUACACACGUGCUACAAUGGGUGGUACAGAGGGCUGCUAAACCGUAAGGUCAUGCCAAUCCCUUAAAGCCAUUCUCAGUUCGGAUUGUGGGCUGAAACUCGCCCACAUGAAGCUGGAGUUACUAGUAAUCGCAGAUCAGAAUGCUGCGGUGAAUGCGUUCCCGGGUCUUGUACACACCGCCCGU